CAGCCGCCGCGGUAAUACGUAGGUGGCAAGCGUUAUCCGGAAUUAUUGGGCGUAAAGCGCGCGUAGGCGGUUUUUUAAGUCUGAUGUGAAAGCCCACGGCUCAACCGUGGAGGGUCAUUGGAAACUGGAAAACUUGAGUGCAGAAGAGGAAAGUGGAAUUCCAUGUGUAGCGGUGAAAUGCGCAGAGAUAUGGAGGAACACCAGUGGCGAAGGCGACUUUCUGGUCUGUAACUGACGCUGAUGUGCGAAAGCGUGGGGAUCAAACAGGAUUAGAUACCCCCGUAGUCCCUGUCUCUUAUAC
rnacentral:rRNA from 1 species